AAAUAAGGAAAAUAAGGAAACGAUCCCUGGAGUGGUCGAGGCAGACCACAUUCCUCCACAGAAUAGUUUUUGGGAACUCUGUAAAAUUCUCAUUAAUGAUGAAAAAAAGAAUAAGGCACUCUAUGACUUAGUGAUGAACGAUAAGGAUAGAAUUGAGAAGUAUUUAAAGGAGAAGGAUGAGAACAAGAAGGAUGAGAACAAGAAGGAUAAGAACAAGAAGGAUAAGAACAAGAUGGAUAACAACAAGAUGGAUAACAACAAUAUGGAUAACAACAAUAUGAAUAGGAAAACGCCUCCUAGUUUUUAUGGAAGACAUCUGAUUUCCAUGAACACUCUGCACUGGGACCAUCAACGUGCACUGACUACUGCCAGCAGUCAUGUAUCCGUAGCAUGCAGAGAAUUGCUGACUAAACAUUUGGAAAAGGACACGUGGUUAAAGCACUGAAGCUGUCACUAAUUAUGGCCCACCCGGAAUCCUCGGACUACAUACACACUAACUGGGUAUAGACACCUCAGGUCCAGACAACAACACACCAAAGAGUGAGGUCGAAGGUGGAACUAAUCAAUCAGAUGUGGAUGUGAACCCCAGACUUACACUAGAGAAUAUGAACAAAUACUACAAAGAUGGAUUUAAGAAAAUUGUAAAUAAAUACAAGGAGAUAAAAGUGAUUAAAGAAGAAGAAGCAGUUAAACUGAUUAAGUGGGUGGAUGAAGAUAAAUAUUUGUGCAAAGAAGAAGAAAAAGAAGAAGAAAAAGAAGAAGAAGAAGAAGAAGAAGAAUAAGAAGAAGAAGAAAUAAAAAAAAUAAAUGUAAAUUACAUAAUUAAGAUUUGCAAGGACAAGCUCAGUCAGAACCCAGUCCCAGCUCAGUCCCAGGCCCCCACAAAGAAGAGGAAUGUGUUUGCAUUAAGGCGUGAAUCUGUGCCAAA